AUCCCAUGGUGAGGGAAUUUGAAUAUUAACUUUUUAAAUCUUUCCUAUGCCUCGUAUAAGGAUUCAGAAUCUAUUUACUGAAAAGUAGUGAUCUCAUUCCACAACUU
rfam:Gossypium hirsutum cultivar TM-1 chromosome 3, whole genome shotgun sequence